AUUGAACGCUGGCGGCAGGCCUAACACAUGCAAGUCGAGCGGAGCGGCGGACGGGUGGGUGAGGCCUAUGAAUGUGACUGGUUGUGGGGGAUAACUACCGGAAAGGGACGCUAAUACCUAAUGCUAUCCGAUGGGCGUGGGUCGGAUUAGCUAGAGGGUGGGGUAAGGGCCUACCCAGGCGACGAUCCGUACCGGGUCUGAGAGGAUGAACAGUCACACUGGAACUGAGACACGGUCCAGACUCCUACGGGAGGCAGCAGUGGGGAAUAUUGCACAAUGGGCGAAAGCCUGAUGCAGCCAUGCCGCGUGUGUGAAGAAGGUCUUCGGGUUGUAAAGCACUUUCAGCUGGGAGGCGUUACCCGCAGAAGAAGCACCGGCUAACUCCGUGCCAGCAGCCGCGGUAAUUC
rnacentral:rRNA from 1 species